UUUUAUAUAGUUUAAAAAAAACAUUAUAUUUUCAUUAUAAAAAUAAUAUUCUAAUAUUUAUAAAUU
rnacentral:tRNA from 1 species